rnacentral:lncRNA from 1 species
GUCGGGGUGGGGCAAGGGCGUAGGUAGUUAGGUUUCGAUUUUGCUGAGUGUGACAUGCCUUAGUGGGCAUGCGUGCUAUCCGGGAUGGCAGGAACCGGGGGAAGAUAAACCCGGAAAUGCUGAGUCAGGGUGGCCAAGAUGGUUGCCUGUCGCCAUCUUGGGGCCUUCACCAGAGUCCAAACAAAAAGCUAAGCUAGGGCCUGGUUCUGGUCCCAGUCUAGCAUUGGAACCACUUCUAGGAACGUUUCUUGCUGAGUCAGCUUGUCAUACCGAUCCUGGUCUACGUUUUGAACCUUACUUUUGAGGUGAAAAGCUAAGCUAGGGCCUUGUUCUGGUCCCUGUCUAGCAUUGGAACCACUUCUAGGAACAUUUCUUGCUGAGUCAGCUUGUCAUACAGAUCCUGGUGUAUAUUUUGAACCUUAUUUUGAGGUGAAAUGCUGAGCUAGGGCCUGGUUCUGGUCCCAGUCUAGCAUUGGAACCACUUCUAGGAACGUUUCUUGCUGAGUCAGCUUGUCAUACAGAUCCUGGUCUACAUUUUGAACCUUACUUUUGAGGUGAAAAGUGAAAGGCAAUGGAAGGGUGCCGCGGAGAAAAAGCGUUGAGAGGCAGGGCAAAGAAGGCAAAGGUUCCUUUAUUAAGCUCUCGGGCGAGGUUCACUGGUCCGCAGGGGAGGGCCAGGGAAGUCCAACUGUGUUGGAGGUGCAGCACGCUUAUAUGGACACUAGCUGAGGUAGGGGCGGAGUUGGGGUGGGGCAAGGGCGGAGUUAAUUAGGUUUCAUUUUGAUGAGUGUGAUGCGCCUUAGUGGGCACACGUGCUAGCCCGGGAUGGUGGGAACGGGGGGAAGAUGAACCCGGAAAUGCUGAGUCAGGGUGGCCAAGAUGGUUGCCUGUCGCCAUCUUGGGGCCUUCACCAGAGUCCAAACAAAAAGCUAAGCUAGGGCCUGGUUCUGCUCCCAGUCUAGCAUUGGAACCACUUCUAGGAACGUUUCUUGCUGAGUCAGCUUGUCAUACAGAUCCUAGUCUACAUUUUGAACCUUACUUUUGAGGUGAAAAGCUCAGCUAGGUCCUGAUUCUGGUCCCAGUCUAGCAUUGGAACCACUUCUAGGAAUGUUUCUUGCUGAGUCAGCUUGUCAUACAGAUCCUGGUCUACAUUUAGAACCUUGCUUUUGAGGUGAAAAGUGAAAGGCAAUGGAAGAGUUCCGUAGACAAAAAGGGUCGAGAGGCAGGGCAAAGAAUGCAAAAGUUCCUUUAUUAAGCUCUUGGGCGAGGUUCACUGGUCCGCCGGGAAAGGCUGGGGAAGUCGCACUGUGUUGGAGGUGCAGCAUGCUUAUAUGGACACUAGGUGAGUUAGGGGCGGAUUCGGGGUGGGGCAAGGGCGGAGCUAGUUAGGUUUUAUUUUCCUGAGUGUGACCCGCCUUAGCGGGCACGCGUUCUUGCCGGGAUGGCGGGAACGGGGGGAAGAUGAACCCGCUAAUGCUGAGUCAGGGUGGCCAAGAUGGUUGCCUGUCGCCAUCUUGGGGCCUUCACCGGAGUCCAAACAAAAAGCUAAGCUAGGGCCUGGUUCUGGUCCCUGUCUAGCAUUGGAACCACUUCUAGGAACGUUUCUUGCUGAGUCAGCUUGUUAUACAGAUCCUGGUCUACAUUUUCAACCUACUUUUGAGGUGAAAAGCUAAGCUAGGGCCUGGUUCUGGUCCUAGUCUUGCAUUGGAACCACUUCUAGGAACGUUUCUUGCUGAGUCAGCUUGUCAUACAGAUCCUGAUGUGCAGCAGCAAAUUGCUCUGGCUCCAGGGGCAGGUCUCCAGCUGAAUGUGUGCCUAGGAAUGGAAUCAAAGCCUCAUCAAAAUCUCAGUCAGUUCCUGAGGCAGAAGAGAUGGGUGUGUCUUAUCCAAGAUUUCUCUGGCUCCAGGGGCAGGUCUCCAGCUGAAUCUGUGCCUACAAAUGGAAUCAAAGUCUCAUCAAAGUCUCAGUUCCCGAGGCAGAAGAGAUGGGUGUGUCUUAUCCAAGAUUUCUCUGGCUCCAGGGGCAGGUCUCCAGCUGAAUCUGUGCCUACAAAUGGAAUCAAAGUCUCAUCAAAGUCUCAGUUCCUGAGGCAGAAGAGAUGGGUGUGUCUUAUCCAAGAUUUCUCUGGCUCCAGGGGCAAGUCUCCAGCUGAAUCUGUGCCUACAAUGCAAACAAAGUCUCAUCAAAGUCUCAGUUCCUGAGGCAGAAGAGAUGGGUGUGUCUUAUCCAAGAUUUCUCUGGCUCCAGGGGCAGGUCUCCAGCAGAAUCUGUGCCUACAAAUGGAAUCAAAGUCUCAUCAAAGUCUCAGUCAGUUCCUGAGGCAGAAGAGGUGGGUGUGUCUUAUCCAAGAUUUCUCUUAUGGAACAAAGUUACAUCAAAGCCAAUUUAAAAGCCUAUGUAAAAAAAAUUAUUAUUAUUGAUGCAAUGUAUACAAAUAUAUAGACCAAUAUAAUAAGUUAACUAUUCCUACCAUGAUUUGUCUUUAGUAAAAUGGGAAACUGGAGAAAAACUUAUGUUUCCAAAUGAUUAUAUAUCUGUGUUAGAUUCUAGUCUUGCCUAAUUUUUUUUCAAUUUGGAUUACUUUCUACAGUUUGGACCAAAUUCUAAUUUUUUUUAUUACAAGUCUCCAAAAUAAUUUUUAAAUUUUUUUCCUUCUUUUUUCCAUUUUUCCUAAUUUGGAGUCACCGAAAACUAAGCUGUGCUUUCUUAAAAUCCUGUGAACUGAAGCCAGACAACUUAAACUUCAGAAGAAAAUAACAGCAACCUAUUUACAUACAUAAACCACUUUCAUACCUGCCUACUGAUGCAUAGACUUCAGAGUAAUGUGGCCUAUAUCAAAUGUUUCCCGGAUUGUUCUUUUGUUUGUUGUUGUUUUCUCUCUCUUCCUCCCACUAUUUUCUCUUCACAGGACAUGAGACUUAACAACCUGCUAAAAAUGAGCUUUUGGGACCUACCCAUCAAGGAAUAAACUGUCCUCGCCAUGAGAGAUCAAAUGAAACCUGAGACCAGAGACUUAUUUUCUUGUAAAAUGCUUUCUCCAACAGGUUUUUAAAAAGAAAAGGGUGGAAAUGUGAAAGGAAAAUAUCUGUGGUCCCCAAAAUCACGAAGGAAAAGUCAAGCCGGGAACUGCUUAGGGCAAACCUGCCUCCCAUUCUAUUCAAAGUCACUCCUCUGCCCAAUCAGAUAGAUGCUUAUCUGAUUUGCCUCCUUUGGAAAGGCUGAUCAGAAACUCAAAAGAAUGGAACCAUUUGUGUAUCAGCCAUCUGUGACCUGGAAGCUUCCUCCCCACUUCAGUCUUCCUGCCUUUGCUUCAAGUUGUCCUGUCUUUCCAGAUGAAGCAAUGUACUUCUUAACAUAUAUUGACUGAUGUCUCAUGAUGUCUCCCUAAAUGUAUGAAACCAAGCUGUGCCUGACAACCUUGGGCAUAUUUUGUCAAGACUUCCCUGAGGCU